rnacentral:rRNA from 1 species
UACGAAGGGGACUAGCGUUGUUCGGAUUUACUGGGCGUAAAGCGCGCGUAGGCGGAUUGCUAAGUCAGGGGUGAAAUCCCAAGGCUCAACCUUGGAACUGCCUUUGAUACUGACGAUCUGGAGAUUGGGAGAGGUGAGUGGAAUUCCGAGUGUAGAGGUGAAAUUCGUAGAUAUUCGGAGGAACACCAGAAGCGAAGGCGGCUCACUGGCCCAAUACUGACGCUGAGGCGCGAAAGCGUGGGGAGCAAACAGG